rnacentral:tRNA from 1 species
GUGUCUGUAGCUCAGUGAUAGAGCAUGUGCCUAGCAUGCACAAGUCCCUGGAAUCAAUCCCCAGUGCCACC